AGGGCGCGCGGCGCGACAGGUUCCCCCUGACCGGGGAUCAAAAGGGAACGGACGAACUCCGGCUGCCCCUGCAACUGUAAGCGGCGAGCCAGCGCGCCACAUGCCAUUGGGCCGAUGUCCGGCCUGAGAAGGCGGCACGCACGGCGAUGACCCGUGAGCCAGGAGACCUGCCUGCCGCGAUCGUCCUUC
rnacentral:ncRNA from 2 species